GGGGAUUUAGCUCAGUGGCACAGCACCUGCCUUGCAAGCACAAGGUUGUAAAUUCAAUCCCUG
rnacentral:tRNA from 1 species